rnacentral:tRNA from 2 species
UGGAGGAUCAUCUAAUGGUAGGAUGCGAGUCUCUGGAACUCGUCGUGAUGGUUCGAAUCCAUCUCCUCCAGCCA